rnacentral:rRNA from 1 species
UACGUAGGUGGCAAGCGUUAUCCGGAAUUAUUGGGCGUAAAGCGCGCGCAGGCGGUUUCUUAAGUCUGAUGUGAAAACCCACGGCUCAACCGUGGAGGGUCAUUGGAAACUGGGGAACUUGAGUGCAGAAGAGAAAAGCGGAAUUCCACGUGUAGCGGUGAAAUGCGUAGAGAUGUGGAGGAACACCAGUGGCGAAGGCGGCUUUUUGGUCUGUAACUGACGCUGAGGCGCGAAAGCGUGGGGAGCAAACAGG